UACGUAGGGGGCGAGCGUUGUCCGGAAUUACUGGGCGUAAAGAGCACGUAGGCGGUUCGUUAAGUCAGCUGUGAAAUCCCUCGGCCCAACCGAGGGGGGUCAGCUGAUACUGGCGGGCUUGAGGGAGGCAGGGGGAAGCGGAAUUCCCGGAGUAGUGGUGAAAUGCGUAGAUACCGGGAGGAACACCAGUGGCGAAGGCGGCUUCCUGGGCUUUUCCUGACGCUGAGGUGCGAAGGCGUGGGGAGCGAAC
rnacentral:rRNA from 1 species